rnacentral:lncRNA from 10 species
GGAAGGAGUUUCCUUGAAUAGGAGAAAGAACAGCCUCCAGAGCCUACUUUCUUCUUCUUUAGCAUAAAUGACCAAACUUGAAGGUCAAACUCCCAAGAGUUUGAGGUCGAAUUUGAUGGAACACCCAGAUGUCCUCAGCUGCCAUGGAGAAUACUUACCAUAUUUGCUUGCAUAUUUUCCCUAUUAUACUGGCAGACACUUUUAGUUGUUAACAUAGAGGAAAGAGGUGAAUUAAGGAGGUAACCUAUUAAUCACUGUAGCUUGGGGCCAAUAUCAACUUUGAUGUAACCCAAGGCUUUCGGCUUUAUUAUAUUUUUUUUCAGAAAGAAGCCAU